AACAAACUCAUUGGUGGAACAUGAAGGUGGACCCUGGGACCCAGACCUUGAGCUGUGUAAAGGGCCCCCAAAAAAUGGAGCUGCUUCUCGUUCUCCCAGAACAUUGAUUUUUGUGACCACAGUUACAAACAGCCUCCAGAGAUCCUGUUAUACACCAGACCAGUGGAGCCAGACUGCAGCUAGAGCCCAUCAUCAUCCUCAUCUGCUU